rnacentral:rRNA from 1 species
UACGGAGGGGGCUAGCGUUGUUCGGAAUUACUGGGCGUAAAGCGCACGUAGGCGGCUUUGCAAGUCAGAGGUGAAAGCCCGGGGCUCAACCCCGGAAUUGCCUUUGAGACUGCAUCGCUAGAAUUGUGGAGAGGUAAGUGGAACUCCGAGUGUAGAGGUGAAAUUCGUAGAUAUUCGGAAGAACACCAGUGGCGAAGGCGACUUACUGGACACAUAUUGACGCUGAGGUGCGAAAGCGUGGGGAGCAAACAGG